AUUUUUAAAAAAGAAUACAAAGGAAAAGAAAAGAAAAUCACCACCUGACAAUGACCAUAGUGAAUUGUCUUGGGUGGGACUCAUCAAUGAAUGCUAAAACACUUAGUAAGUGAAAGUUUGAUAAGAAAUGGGGUAUUUACAUAAUCUCAAUGUAUGUAAGAUACUCCCCAAAGAAAAGAAUUGUGUAACUCUACAAUAGAGAAACCUGGCAGACACCACUUUAAAUCAGUGAUCAAACUUAACAUUACAAUGAGAGCAAAUAGACAUCAGAUGCCUUCUGAAAAGGGCACACAUGUAUUUAGUUCCUGCUGAAAAUGGAUAACCUUAAUCUAAUCAUGGAACAGACAACUCCGACAAAUCCAAAUUGGAAGACUAUACAAAAUGGCCUGUAUUCAAAUAAAUGUAAGGUUAAGAAAAAUAAAGACCAAGGAACUAUUCCAGAGUAAAGGAGACUAAAGAGACAUGACCACUAAAUGCAGCAAAUGAUUCCAAAUCAUAUUCUGAGCCAUUAUGUGUUUUUUACAUAUAUAUAUAUAUAUACACACAUAUAUACACAUACAGAGAGAGAGAGAGAGAGAGAGAGAGAGAGAGAGAGAGAGAGAGAUGGAGAUAGAAAAUCACCACCUGGCAAUAAGC
rnacentral:lncRNA from 1 species